rnacentral:tRNA from 1 species
GGGGUUGUGGCUCAGUGGUAGAGCACUCGCCUAGCAUGUGUGAGGCCCUGGGUUCAAUUCUCAGCACCACA